rnacentral:lncRNA from 1 species
CACGGUGUUUACAUUUGCACGGAGCAAAGUUUCCACUGAGUUGGGUAAUAUUUAACGGCACAGUCCUGGGAGAGCAUAAGAAGCAGUACAGUAUCACUUCAUCAGUCGGGUGUGUGUGACUCCCCCUGAAGAGACACCGGACUGAGGUUGAGCCAUGAAUUGAACUGAACACUGAACAUGGCCGUGGUUCCUCUCUUGCUGCUGCUCCUGUCAAGCAGGAUUCAAGCUGCCGCUCAGAUGACCCUGUUGCCCGAGACACUGAGCGUCCUUCGAGGGGAGGAGGCCCGUUUUACCUGCAGUCCCUCCAGCAGCGAGUGGACCGUGAUGGUGUGGCUCCUGAAUGGCACUGCAACGCUCACCAUCUCCAAUAUGCACGGCGUCCUGCCCGCCACCAACCCCAACGUGACGGCGGAGAGAGGCCCCGCGUCGCAGGGGGGCGGCUGGGUGUUUGUCCUGAGGAGCACGCAGUGGCACAACCAGGGGCAGGUGACCUGUGACCUCCAAGGCAUAGAGAGGAAAACGGCCGCCCUCUUUGUGCAAGAAAAGGGCAGCGUGGAAAUCUCCGGGGGCGACAAGGUGGCUUUUAAAGGACAGUCAGUGGAGUUUGAAUGUGAAGCAACAGGCUGGUUCCCUGAGCCCACGCUGCAGUGGCAGGUGAAUGACAAAGAGGUGAGCGGGGGUCACUACAACGCCAGCAGCGCAGCUUCCCGACCGAGCUUCUUCACCGUGACCAGCGGCCUCAGCGUGACGGCGGCGAGGAGCGCCCUCGUGGGCUGCCUGGCGUCUGUGUCUGCGCUCCCCUCGCCGCUGAGGAGCUCCGUCCGCCUCACAGUGGUCGCAGAGGUGAUGGAGGAAGAAGACGCGUGCACGGUCCCGCUGGUGGUCACAUCCUCCCUCGCUGCUCUUCUGCUGCUCCUCCUGCUCUGCAUCGUCACCGUCCUCUGUUACAGGCGCAGGCGAGAAGCAAAGGCAGGUCCACGGGAGGCAGCAAGGGUCGGCCAACCAGUGAGCGGGAGAAUCCCAGUGGCUGAGACAACAAGGGGGAAGGUCAACCUGGGAUUCUCUGGUGAGAAUCACACAGCAGAUGCAGUUAGCAGUGAACUAAGCAGGGGAAGCCGUAGCCAAAUGGACUCUGUCAGCUUUCACCAGGUCCCUGAUGUCGCGUGCUCCAGGGGCCAGUCUGUGGUCGGCGAAAGCCAAGCCCGGGUGUGUUUGGCAGAGGAGACCCCCAAGACCACCCGGAGGAUCACCACAGUGUGAUUGGCAGCCGUUCCCGGCGUGUACCCUGCCUCUCGCCCAGCGGCAGCGUGCGCUACGUAAGGGGAGAGGUCAGGAUGAUGAAUGGACGGACAGGUGUAUUCAUCAUUUUCCAGUCAUGUGAAAGGAACGACUAGGAGCGACGGCAUCAGUGGCAAAGGCCGGGGUGUAAAUUAACACGAUGUGACUGGUGCCGCGCUGAGAGCGAUGCGGUGGUGAGGGUGUGUGUAGUAAUGCACAGAUUUAUCUCCGCGUGAAGUGGGUGACAUAACAUUUGCAUUUCAUAAUAGUAAAGAGUCGAGUGGUGCAGAUGGAGGCCCAUCAAUCUGCCACAGACUCUAUGGCUUCAUUAGCACAGCUUGUAUUAUUAAGAAUAUGACUCCAGCACCUAUAGCGGGUGUCUGGGAGGAAAUGAAUUUGAAUAAAAACGAAAACGUUAUUGACA